rnacentral:snRNA from 1 species
UGAUGUGAAGGCGAUCUGACUGUGACAUCUGUCACCCCAUUGAUUGGGCUGAUCUGGCUGGCUAGGUGGGUGGCCUCUUCCUCCCUCACUNCUCCAUUUGCACCCCUCCCCAAACUGUUGGUUGAAGAGGAGGACCUUNCCCUGCUAGAACCUCCAAACAAGCUCUCAAGGUCCAUUGAAAUGCAAAAUUAUUUCAAGAGUUCUUGCCUACUGACCCCACCUGACCUGAGGACCAGU